rnacentral:rRNA from 1 species
AUGAAGUCCGUCCUAGUCGACUUCCUCUUCGGUGUUGGAAUCAAGCCCACGUCGAUUGCCAGCUAUAACCACCAAGGCAACAACGACGACAUGAAUCUCUCAGCCACGCAGAUAUUUUCGUCCAAAGAGAUCUCCAAAAGCGGCAUGGUGCAUGACAUGGUCGUCAGCAACGACAUCUUUUACAACCCCGAGGAGCAUCCCGACGACGUCAUUGUGAUAAAGUACAUGUCGUAUGUCGGGGAUAGCAAGAGGGCCAUGGACGAGUACUCCUCCGAGAUCUUCAUGGGUGGCAAGAACACCACCGUGUUGCACAACACCCGUGAGGACUCGCUCCUGGUCGCACCCAUCAUCCUUGACCUAGUGCUCUUGGCUGAGCUCGACACAAGGAUCUAG